rnacentral:lncRNA from 1 species
CAUCCAACCAAAAAUGAAAGCUGAACAGGAACAAGCCUCUACCAAUUUCUCUGCAAAAUCAAUACUUCCAUUAGCAUGAAUCCACAAAGGCAAUGGCAAUGCUUGUGACCUGUGAAGCUGAGCUAAGUGGCUUUGCUUUACGAAACAAGAGUACUCAAACUGUUAUCUUACCUGCACGACUGCACCAAUAUCAUUUGUGGGACUUUUUCCAUGUUUUUCGGGGAGGAGAUUAGUUGACAAAAUUUUGGUCAUUUCCUUUAUUUAUUUUAAGAGAGAAAAAAGAAAAAGGGAGCUAGACACAUACAUGCUGAAUUUGCCUACUUUAUAGCAAUGACAUUUCUAUACGAGGACGAAAACUUUAACAUGAGUGAUGGAUAGUAUACCUACUGUGAAUCAAUGUCCUUGUACACAAUGUACAAAUAGAUCUAGAUCUAUAUAUACGACUCUGCAGGUCAAACAGAAAUAUUGUGCCUCGUGUGCAUGUCUUAUUGUGUUGAGUCAAUCACAUCCUGUUUCGUCCUAGAGUAGAGUGACAAUAAUAAAGGGGCGGAUCAAGAAAUGGAGAGAAAAAUCAUUGAGUAAUUUAGCUAGAGAUAUAUGCAUAUGCAAUCAGAAAGGGAGGCAUUAGGAAUCACAUUGAAGCUAGACUUUGAGGAUCCAUGUGCCAAGCAAGCUGUUGAAGCGACACACAGAAAUCGGCGACACUUUUGAUGGAGGCAGAUCUCACAAGUACUCUAGGUAAGUAGUUUAGUCAUGCAUCUUUUUUAAUAAAGAAAAUAGAGUCUAGCUUCAUAUUUUAUGGCUAAGAGAAUCAGACCAAUCAUUAAAAUAGUCACAAGUGUUCAAUUCGAAACUAAAUUCUAAAAUGGUACACAGAUUUAAUUCGUAAGUAUGGCUAAAGUCUCAACAUGUACAUACUAAAUUGUGUUCUCCAAUUUGGAUGGGAGCAAUUGCUAUUACUGGUCUAUUUGGUUGGGCGUAAAUGAUGUUGUGUUUGACACAAAAAAGGACUAUUUUUCUACUUACAGGUAAUUUUCAAAACUGCCUAAUGGAAGUGUUUCUGGUCUUCAUAAUUAAGGAGCACAACAAAACUGCAGCGGUGGAGAUUUGAUGUGUGAGUGUUUGGCAGGGCUCCUCUGGAGGAGCCAGAGCCAAAACUGGAGCGGAGCCCUGCCAAAUAGACCCUUAGUGCUUAGUACAUUAUUGAGUUCGAGUUUGUCUCAAAACUUUUUUUAGUUUUUGAGUCUUUAAUCAGCCACAGGCUAGAUCUAAAAUAAUGAAUAGUUCGGUACAAAACUCUUGCAGAGGUUGGAAUAACAGAGGCCAGAAUAAAAUUUCCUUUAAUUUUCCUAAACAAAAAAGGUUACAGCCUCAGGAAGCGCGGUCAGCCUGUGACAUUUGUACUUGUGAUUGAUGAAGCAAAAGAAGAAAUCCGCUGACUAUAGAACUACCCACAUCUAGAGAUAUGCAUAUGCCUGGCAUGCAGGCAGGCUUCAGAUGCAGGCAAUACAAGAUCGAUUAUUCAAACAGA